rnacentral:rRNA from 1 species
UACGAAGGGUGCAAGCGUUACUCGGAAUUACUGGGCGUAAAGCGUGCGUAGGUGGUUGUUUAAGUCUGUUGUGAAAGCCCUGGGCUCAACCUGGGAACUGCAGUGGAAACUGGACGACUAGAGUGUGGUAGAGGGUAGCGGAAUCCCUGGUGUAGCAGUGAAAUGCGUAGAGAUCAGGAGGAACAUCCAUGGCGAAGGCAGCUACCUGGACCAACACUGACACUGAGGCACGAAAGCGUGGGGAGCAAACAGG